rnacentral:lncRNA from 7 species
AAAAACUCGCAGCGAGUUUAUCACUUAGUUAUACCUCAGCCCGCCGUCUCGCUGCACCGCGGCUGAGAUUCCAGCGGUGGCUGCCCCUGCCGCACCGUGAGACGCACUCGACAGCUGAUUGUACGGAUGCUCUCGGGAACGGCAGCGAGCGAGUCCUGCCGGCAGUGUGCCCUCAAUGCUGGCACGGAGUAACUGCGCGGGCGAAGCGGAGCCGUACCUCAGCUCAGCGCUCCCCUCGGCCGGACGGGCGCUGCUGUCGGCAUUGAUCACAAUAACGCGCACUGCCCGCCGCCCCCCGCGCUGCCGUUGUCAUGUGACGAGAGGGCGACAGCAGACCGAGAAAAGGCGUCGGGAGGCGUUCUUGGAGCGCCGUAUCCACGGGCUUUAUUAAAGCAGGAUUGUCUCCUCUUUAGAUGUGAGCUUUCGGUGAAUACGACGAGACUGCUUGUUUUCCCCCGCAAUGAUCACUGCGUUUCUCAAGCAGUUUGCACCUACUUACGGACCUCGCAUCUUCAGCCUUGGAUCUUAAAGGAACUGAUAACUCCUCUUCCAGAAAACUGUUCGGUAACAGGUUUCCUGCCCCGGGCUUUACAAGGAUCGCUCUUGUCUCAGAGCCACCGUGUUUGAUUGCCGGAAAAGGCUGACUACUAGAAUAGCAAAACCAGUCCGCCAUCCAGCAGUUGGGAAUCAAGGCCCUUCUUUACCAGAGCCCCAGCCACAUCCAUACUGUCACCCACCUUCCAGACACUCGGCACAACCAUUCACCCUAUUGAAUCAUGAGACUGUUUGAUCUUAUCUGCAUCUGUGAGCUGACUGUCAACCUGCUUACACUGCAUAUUAAAUCAUCUAUAGUAGCU